rnacentral:rRNA from 1 species
GACGAACGCUGGCGGUGUGCUUAACACAUGCAAGUGGUGCGACGAACCAGAGCUUGCUCUGGGGCAAAGCCGCGAACGGGUGAGUAACACGUGGGUAAUCUACCCCGAUGACCGGGACAACCCGAGGAGACUCGGGCUAAUACCGGAUGUGGUGCGGAGACAUAAGUCUCUUCACUAAAGGUAGCUUCGGCUUCCGCAUUGGGAGGGGCCCGCGGCCCAUUAGCUUGUUGGUGGGGUCAAGGCCUACCAAGGCAACGAUGGGUAGCUGGUCUGAGAGGACGAUCAGCCACACUGGGACUGAGACACGGCCCAGACUCCUACGGGAGGCAGCAGUGGGGAAUCUUGCGCAAAGCGCGAAAGCGUGACGCAGCAACACCGCGUGAGGGAAGAAGGCCUUAGGGUUGUAAACCUCUUUCAGAUGGGACGAAGGUUCUCCGGUGAAUAGCCGAGAGGAUUGACGGUACCGUCAGAAGAAGCUCCGGCUAACUACGUG